UGGAGGGCUGAGAAGGUGGGACAGCUCCAUACCAUGCUGCCUCCAUUGGUCAAGACCUCCAAGAGUAAAUAAAGGGCUGGUUACACAAGGGAUGUCCCUCCACCACCUUGGAGGGGCAGCACUGUGCUGGCCUACAUUCU
ensembl:snoRNA